rnacentral:tRNA from 3 species
GGCCCGAUGGCAGAGUGGUGAUGCAGCGGCCUGCAAAGCCGUUAACAGCGGUUCGAUUCCGCUUCGGGCCUCCA